rnacentral:rRNA from 1 species
AUUGAACGCUGGCGGCAGGCUUAACACAUGCAAGUCGAACGAGUGGCGGACGGGUGAGUAAUGCUUGGGAAACUGCCUGAUGGAGGGGGAUAACGACGGGAAACGGUCGCUAAUACCGCAUACCAUCAGAUGUGCCCAGGUGGGAUUAGGUAGUUGGUGGGGUAAUGGCUUACCAAGGCGACGAUCCCUAGCUGGUCUGAGAGGAUGACCAGCCACACCGGAACUGAGACACGGCCCGGACUCCUACGGGAGGCAGCAGUGGGGAAUAUUGCGCAAUGGGGGCAACCCUGACGCAGCCAUGCCGCGUGAAUGAAGAAGGCCUUCGGGUUGUAAAGUUCUUUCGGUGGCGAGGCGUUACCCACAGAAGAAGCACCGGCUAACUCCGUGCCAGCAGCCGCGGUAAUAC